GGGGGCGAACUGGCUUCGACGGGGGUAGUGAAGCUUAGGCUGCAUACCGAGGUUCCGCCUGCUCGUAAAACAGGUGGGAUAAACAUAGACGCAGACGACUAUGCUUACGCCCUGGCCGCAUAAUUGACGGCCAGCGUCCCUUUGGUCCUUGCCUGUGGGACCAAGUGGGGCGUCGGUUAGCAGGCUAGCCAAUCCGACUUACCUGUGAGUCGGGGCGGCGAAAGGCUUCACAGGUUAGUCCUUUGGCGACCUGGCCCGAUAGGGACCCAAAGGGCGAACGACUUGUAUCGGGCUAAGUAUGUAGACGCCUAAGCGGAAUGCUUCCGGACGCGGGUUCGAUUCCCGCCGCCUCCACCA
rnacentral:tmRNA from 1 species